rnacentral:lncRNA from 1 species
UCCGAGACUCUCAGACUUUGGUCCUCCUUAGGGCCCGGCUAUGAAGCUUUCAAGAAGUUCAGUGUCACUGGUUGCUUGGAAACAAAAACUUGCGGUAUGUUUGAACAUCAUCAAGCUGGAGUUGGUAGUUGUAGGGUAACGACAAGAAGGAUAAACUUCAGGGAUCAGGAAGUGACCUCGGCUGACCUUUGCAUUACGUAAGAGUAUGAGGAAUGGGUUCUAAUAACGACAGUGAAACUUGCCGUUGCAUAAGGUUUGAGAAAUGAUCCCCUUAAUGGACCCAAUUAAAACCUCAACGACCUCAGAGUAUUCAGCGUCGUGUUUUGGUCUCCGGGAAAUAAAAACAAUUUUGUUUCGUUAAACAAAGGCAGUUGUGAAAGUUGAAGCACUCAGAUGUGGACUUAGGUCUCUCUCUCUUCCUAUUAUCAUCGUCGUUUGUUUUUUCUCUUUUUUUCUCUCUUUCUCUCUCUUUCUCUGUGUUUGUUUUCUGCGCUAUCGAGUUGGUAUUCAUCCAUCUGGCUGAUCUGGCUGACUAGUUAAUUAGCUGGCGGAGAAAAAGGCGGGUGUGAACUAGAAACAAAUAUUUUAUACUAUUCCAAACUCUGCUUCACUCCUACCCAUCUGCAGCCACUCUGAGAGAAUUCGUUCAUGAGCUCUCCAUCCAAAAUGGCCGCACACACGUGGAGUUCCUCAAGAACUCCCAUAUCGAACCCCUUUCAAAUCGUUUGAUGACUCUCUACUGUUGCUGGGAACCUGGGAGUCCUCAGCCAGAGAUAGUGCAUGUCCCUUUUGACUCGCGAGGUUAGUGAGUGCCUCCUUGUCCGCUCACACACUCACUCCUGCUCUUGGAUUUGUGAGGCAGCAAAGCAAUGGCUGUAGUGCCAGCCAUAAACCAAGUCCACUUUAAUCCCAGCAGCCGUCCUGCUCCACAACGCAUGCGCUCGAAAUGUCUUUCGUUUUGUCCAAUGAGGUGCGCCGGCCCCCGAGUUCCGUCUUUCUCUUUGCGCCGUAAACACCUUGACUUCAGGGUUAUUAAAAAAAAGGAGAGAAAAGAAAUGAAAUUACGAAAACAGCGCAAAAGUUCAGCUCCUGGUCAGGGAGAAAGUACAAAGUGCUGCACUCUCGGGUUCCCUGAGCGGGUUUGGAUGCAGGGUCCGUGGCUGGCCAUUUGGUGAUCGCCUUUUUUUGCCAGCGAAGUUAGAAAGGGAUCGUGAGAAGGUAUUCAGUUGAAGUCUUAGGAUCCUAAUAAAACAGACCGCCCGCUGCUUCCACACCCUGGCGACACCUUCCUACAGCUGCCCUGGCCUCACGGCCUCCCUGUGGCGAUCGCUUUGCAUAUCCGUGCAGAAAAGAAUAGUCUACCGGGUAGCUGGGUAUUUUCUGUCCGCAGAACACUCCAGCAGGUACGACAAUCGUACUUGUGGUGUCCUCCCCAGCAUGAUCUUACACUUGCCUCCACUUCAUUCACCCGUAACAAGAUAUUGGGGCACCACUCGUCGUAGUCUUUAACCUACUUCUGAUCUUCAUGCGAUGCUUUGGAGUGUCUAUCGUAUAAAAUCCCUCGGGAAUUUAAUAUCUUUGCGCUGUAUGAGUUUUUUUCUUUGUUUUUGUUUUUUUUUUUUUUUUUUUUGGUCUCUCAUAUAUUUAUGGAACCCCGGUAAUGGGAAAAUGAGUGCGAGGAAAAAUGUUUGCUUUUUUGUUUUUAUUUAUUUUAUUGCAUGCUUUCCGGAUUUCUUUUCAGUCCCAAACAGCUAGCAGUCGGAUUGAUAAUGGGUGAUGUGUGUAUGAGGUGUAUACAGGAAGAGGAGGGAUAGUGAUUAUCAAGGGCAGAAAAAAACCCAGAGAUUUAUUUUCUGUUGAAAAUGGAAACAGAAAGAUAAUUCAUUCAUCUAGAUAAAUUUUUCAUGGUGCUUCUAGCAGAUAGAAAUAUUCCAUGUCCUCCCUGCAACUCUCUCAAUUAGAGGACUAAACUAUGGGGAGACACACUUUACCAUCCGCAAAACCACGAGUUGCAUUAACAGCAGAAAACACUGUCCUUGUUUCAUCCUGUCUAGUGAACAGGAUCUACAUCACUUGGAAAAUAGACAUUUAAAGCUCGUGCAAGGGCCUCAGAUGAGGUAGAGCAGGAAUGUAAAGCCGGGUUUGGUGUAGAAAACACUUUGCAGAGGUGGGUGGAGGCACAGGUGGAGCUUGUGUAGGAUGGAUGUGGCGGGGAGGUAGGCUGAUGAGCGAGGAUGUGGCGACAAGGUGAAAGCCAUGUCCUAUUUGCCCCCAUCUCUCAUCCAGGGCUCAUGUGGGAGGGUUUGAACUUUGACCCUGGUUGCUGAAGACCGCCCACUGCGAACAGCGUGCCUAAGCAGUUUCUGUUUCAUUUGUGCGUAAAAUAAGAAAAAGGAAAUUAGUCGAGUGUUGGUGGAACUGAUGUUAUCAAUGGAACUUGUUGACAGUUUCAAUCUAUCAGUAAAUAAAUAAAUAAAAAUAAACAUAAUUCAGUACUCUCACUUUGAAUUCGAGAGCCCAUGAUCCAGAUUCACAUCAUGUCGUGAUGCACUAUGGAAGGGUACCCAGCGCUCAGUUGACAUCCAUGCAUGAUGUGGAUUGUUGGCUGCCUCGCGUCACCCGUGUACCCAGAGACGUGCCCGCGACUUGCUACCCCGCUGUCAACCACCACCAGUUGCUCUGCCCUCAGCAUGCUGACGCUGCAUCGACCGAAGCCACGGGGGCAAGCAAGGCACCUUGGCGAGGGUUAACGGGGUACCGACAUGGCAGGUCACGUACCCUUUUCUCCCUCUCCCACCCGCUACCCCAAGCCCCACUACCCCAGCGUCUCGCGGGGGCUGCACGUGCGGGGCGCGUGGCGGACGUGAGGCGAGUGCCCCGCGCGGCACCGACGGCGAACUUCCUUUACUGGGGCUGGCGGCAGCACCAGUCCGGCCGCGCGGCCUCCUCGCGGGCUGGGCAGCGAAAUGCGAGAAAGAAGAAGGAAACACAAGACGGCUGAAUUAAACACUAACCCGUCCCACAACCCACUCACCCCUGCCCUCCCCUCCUACCCCCUCUCCCCGCUCCUGGGUCUUUGUCCUAGCCUCGCUCCCGUUCGACGAACGUUAGGGGGACCUCCAAGACUAUUCUGCUAAAAGGAAACAGUUUGCGCAGUAACCGGAACCUCUUUUACGCCGAGUGGAAUCCCCGAGGGUUCCCAAGGCCAGGAGAUAGGACAGGUGAGAUAGCGGUGACGAAAGUCUCUAACCGCUUUUCCCCCUGUUGACGUCACUGGUCACGUGCGAGGGACGUCGCGACACAAGGGAGCAAGCAAACAAGGAGCGACCUAACUGGUGUUUUGAAAGUGUCUGCGGGAUCUGCGCGCGUUUAAAAGGGAGAGAAUGACGUCCACAAUGACAUGGCGGCUCUCGCUAGGCCUGUCCCUCCUCAGCCGCCAAAGCUCGAAGACUACCAGGCUUCCAGACUAAUCACCCGGCGGACACAUUAGCAUACAAAUAGCUUGCCAUGGCGUUCUCAACUUGACAUCACGUGACAAGGGUCAACGACAAACAGACUGGGUCGGCGCGUGCUCCAAGUGCUGCCUCCUCACACUUGACCAACAUCUAUGGUGGAAGAGGAGGAGACAAUGAGAGGGAAGGGGAUUAAUUUCCCUACCUUUCACAGUCCCCUUUCGUGUCGACGUGUCACACUCCACCGGCUCGCGCGUGCCACGCGCUGACAUGCGUUCUGACCACGUGACCACGGCUGACUGAACCCACAGCGGGCUGCUGCAUUGAUGACAAGACAACCACGGGUACUUUUUAGCUUCUAAACCCCAUCCCCUGGCGUCUGACCCCUUGACAGGGCUGGACGCCGACUCAGUAUCAACAUGGUCUUGUCACAGGUCACGUCCCCUGAAACGUCCACUGAGUUAGGAAUUAGAAUUUAAUUGCACGAGUAAACAUUGGAAACAAACACACGCCCACCCCGCUGGCGUGUGUCCUUUUUUUUCUUUGCUAAAGGGAGGCCACCGGAAGCUGAGAGCAACGGUAACUGUCGUCGGGUAGCUCCUGCAGCCGGGAUGGUGGUGGUGGUGGUGGAGAUGGGGAGGGGGAGCAUGACGACUGGUAGAGGUAAUGUUCGAGAACAAUAGUAAUCACUCUGAAAUAAAACCGUUGAGAGGCGGGAGGUGGUGGACAGGGUGACAUCUGUGGGCGAAAGCACCCUUCGCUUCUCAAUGACACACUUGUCCCGGGAGCGUGGCCUCUCUCCGGCUACCCCGCUACCCCGACUACCCCCAAGUCGCCCUUUUACGAUAGUUCGUCUCGCCGCCCGCCGGCGCACAAUCGGCGACUGGUCCCCCACACAAGUGCGUGGCCGCAGUUCAGAAAGAAACUAUGGUCAAAUGAGGAGAUAAGAGAUCCCGCAAUUAGUCGGCGUGCCGCACGAGUUCCUUUCCCCCCCGGGUGCCCAUUUUGUUUGACAUCACACGGGUCACCGGUCGUCAACUGAAGACAACACCUGAAAGGUGUGCAGGUAAUGUAUGCGCGGCCAGCGGCUUCCUUCUGAGUCAUGUGUCGGUGCUGAUCCCCAUCGUAAUAUGAGAAUGUAAUCCUGAUAUAAUUGCUUUUAUUUUCGGAUUCUUAAUUAAUUCUUUUUUAUUAUUUUAUGUUACACAUCUGUGAGUAAAUAUUGCGUGUAGCUCCAUGCAGCAAUAAGGUUCCCAACAUUUUAAUCUAGCGGUUGACCAAGUUUGGCAAAGUUGGGUGUGUACUUUGGUCAACAUGUGAUUUUUUAUUUUUUAUGUUUUUUUAAAUUUAUUUUUAUUUAUUUUAUUUUUUUGCCACACAUUUGUCAAUAUGUCACCUGCAUAUAUAAUGAGACUUAAGGACACUUCGCAGAUCCUUCCACCAGCCUCUUGAACCAGCAAGGUUACAGUCGACCUCAUGUAAUCUCACCUUUCAACACCAACUUCCGCUUUAAUGUCAUGCUCAUUUGUUUAGAAAAAAAGAAGGGGAAAAUAAUCCCAAAAAAUUUUGCCUUUACAAGAGAAUUGUGGACUGAGAGGCCAGAACGAUUUUUGUCCUGUCGA